AGAUAAGCAAACGAUCGAGAAGGCUGUGGAAGAGGCGAUUCAGUGGCUGGAGGGGAACCAAUUGGCCGAGGUGGAUGAGUUCGAGGACAAGCAGAAGGAGUUGGAGGGUAUCUGCAAUCCCAUUAUUGCUAAGAUGUAUCAGGGUGCUGGUGCUGGAGGAGGUAUGCCACCUAUGGGUGAUGACAUGCCUGGUGCUCAUUCUAAUGGUUCUGCAACUGGGGCUGGCCCAAAGAUUGAAGAGGUUGAUUAAGCUGAGAAUGUGCAGG
rnacentral:lncRNA from 1 species